ACGAGUUAUCUGAACCUUCGGGGAACGAUAACGGCGUCGAGCGGCGGACGGGUGAGUAAUGCCUAGGAAAUUGCCCUGAUGUGGGGGAUAACCAUUGGAAACGAUGGCUAAUACCGCAUGAUGCCUACGGGCCAAAGAGGGGGACCUUCGGGCCUCUCGCGUCAGGAUAUGCCUAGGUGGGAUUAGCUAGUUGGUGAGGUAAGGGCUCACCAAGGCGACGAUCCCUAGCUGGUCUGAGAGGAUGAUCAGCCACACUGGAACUGAGACACGGUCCAGACUCCUACGGGAGGCAGCAGUGGGGAAUAUUGCACAAUGGGCGCAAGCCUGAUGCAGCCAUGCCGCGUGUGUGAAGAAGGCCUUCGGGUUGUAAAGCACUUUCAGUCGUGAGGAAGGUAGUGUAGUUAAUAGCUGCAUUAUUUGACGUUAGCGACAGAAGAAGCACCGGCUAACUCCGUGCCAGCAGCCGCGGUAAUACGGAGGGUGCGAGCGUUAAUCGGAAUUACUGGGCGUAAAGCGCAUGCAGGUGGUUUGUUAAGUCAGAUGUGAAAGCCCGGGGCUCAACCUCGGAAUUGCAUUUGAAACUGGCAGACUAGAGUACUGUAGAGGGGGGUAGAAUUUCAGGUGUAGCGGUGAAAUGCGUAGAGAUCUGAAGGAAUACCGGUGGCGAAGGCGGCCCCCUGGACAGAUACUGACACUCAGAUGCGAAAGCGUGGGGAGCAAACAGGAUUAGAUACCCUGGUAGUCCACGCCGUAAACGAUGUCUACUUGGAGGUUGUGGCCUUGAGCCGUGGCUUUCGGAGCUAACGCGUUAAGUAGACCGCCUGGGGAGUACGGUCGCAAGAUUAAAACUCAAAUGAAUUGACGGGGGCCCGCACAAGCGGUGGAGCAUGUGGUUUAAUUCGAUGCAACGCGAAGAACCUUACCUACUCUUGACAUCCAGAGAACUUUCCAGAGAUGGAUUGGUGCCUUCGGGAACUCUGAGACAGGUGCUGCAUGGCUGUCGUCAGCUCGUGUUGUGAAAUGUUGGGUUAAGUCCCGCAACGAGCGCAACCCUUAUCCUUGUUUGCCAGCGAGUAAUGUCGGGAACUCCAGGGAGACUGCCGGUGAUAAACCGGAGGAAGGUGGGGACGACGUCAAGUCAUCAUGGCCCUUACGAGUAGGGCUACACACGUGCUACAAUGGCGCAUACAGAGGGCAGCCAACUUGCGAAAGUGAGCGAAUCCCAAAAAGUGCGUCGUAGUCCGGAUUGGAGUCUGCAACUCGACUCCAUGAAGUCGGAAUCGCUAGUAAUCGUGGAUCAGAAUGCCACGGUGAAUACGUUCCCGGGCCUUGUACACACCGCCCGUCACACCAUGGGAGUGGGCUGCAAAAGAAGUAGGUAGU
rnacentral:rRNA from 1 species